GCCUUUGUAGUGUAGUGGUCAGCACUCUCAACGCGUAUUCGAGAGGUCCGUGGUUCGAGUCCCGGCGAGGGCA
rnacentral:tRNA from 1 species